UCUUAGGCAAAUCCGGGAUCACUUACGCCGAGCACCGAGACGAGUCCUAUGAGGACGAAGUGACUGACACCACACUUCCAGGAAAAGCCACUAAGCUUCAGCUUAAGAAAAACCGUACCGCAAACCGACACAGGUAGGCAGGGUGAGAAUCCCAAGGCGCUUGAGAGAACUCGGGUGAAGGAACUAGGCAAAAUGGCACCGUAACUUCGGGAGAAGGUGCGCCCUUUGGUGUGGUCACGUGCGUGACUGAGCAUCGAAGGGUCGCAGUAACCUGGCCGCUGCGACUGUUUAUCAAAAACACAGCACUCUGCAAACACGAAAGUGGACGUAUAGGGUGUGACGCCUGCCCGGUGCUGGAAGGUUAAUUGAUGGGGUCAGCCGCAAGGCGAAGCUCUUGAUCGAAGCCCCAGUAAACGGCGGCCGUAACUAUAACGGUCCUAAGGUAGCGAAAUUCCUUGUCGGGUAAGUUCCGACCUGCACGAAUGGCGUAACGACAGCGGCGCUGUCUCCACCCGAGACUCAGUGAAAUUGAAAUCGCUGUGAAGAUGCAGCGUUCCCGCGGCAAGACGGAAAGACCCCGUGAACCUUUACUAUAGCUUUACACUGAACGUUGAGUUCUUCUGUGUAGGAUAGGUGGGAGGCUAUGAAACCAGGACGCUAGUUCUGGUGGAGCCAUCCUUGAAAUACCACCCUGAAGUGCUUGACGUUCUAACCUAGGCCCGUAAUCCGGGUCAGGGACCGUGUAUGGUGGGUAGUUUGACUGGGGCGGUCUCCUCCCAAAGAGUAACGGAGGAGCACGAAGGUACGCUCAGCGCGGUCGGACAUCGCGCACUGUGUGCAAAGGCAUAAGCGUGCUUGACUGCGAGAUCGACGGAUCAAGCAGGUACGAAAGUAGGUCUUAGUGAUCCGGUGGUUCUGUAUGGAAGGGCCAUCGCUCAACGGAUAAAAGGUACUCCGGGGAUAACAGGCUGAUACCGCCCAAGAGUUCAUAUCGACGGCGGUGUUUGGCACCUCGAUGUCGGCUCAUCACAUCCUGGGGCUGUAGCCGGUCCCAAGGGUAUGGCUGUUCGCCAUUUAAAGUGGUACGCGAGCUGGGUUCAGAACGUCGUGAGACAGUUCGGUCCCUAUCUGUCGUGGGCGUUGGAGAUUUGAGGGGGGCUGCUCCUAGUACGAGAGGACCGGAGUGGACGUUCCGCUGGUGUUCGGGUUGUCAUGCCCAUGGCAUUGCCCGGUAGCUACGAACGGAAGUGAUAACCGCUGAAAGCAUCUAAGCGGGAAGCACGCCCCAAGAUGAGAUCUCCCGAGAGCUUGACUCUCCUAAAGGCACCAUCAAGACUAGGUGGUUGAUAGGUCAGGUGUGGAAGCGCAGCAAUGCGUUGAGCUAACUGAUACUAAUGAGCCGUGAGGCUUGACC
rnacentral:rRNA from 1 species